UGGUGGAGUGAUUUGUCUGGUUAAUUCCGUUAACGAACGAGACCUCGACGUGCUAGCUGGGGGUGUCUGUCGGUGGAGAGCGCGCUUCGGCGGGCUGUCCGCACAUACGGCAGGGCGGACCCCCCUCCUAGACGGACUGUCGGUGUUGUAGCCGGAGGAAGUUCGAGGCAAUAACA
rnacentral:rRNA from 1 species